GCUGGGUGUGGUGGCGGGCGCCUGUAGUCCCAGCUACUCAGGAGGCUGAGGCAGGAGAAUUGCUUGAACCCAGGAGGCGGAGGUUGCAGUGAGCUGAGAUCCGGCCACUGCACUCCCCCCUGGGCGACAGAGCAAGACUCCGUCUCAA
rnacentral:SRP_RNA from 1 species